GCUGUUGCGGCGGCUCCGGGACCAGCGAAGCGUGGGGAGCGCUGUGAGAUGGGCCGGCUCCCAAGUCAGCCGGGAGGACACUUACAACAGCUGCUCAAAACCACCACUGGAAGCUCAGAUGUGGGCACCUCAGCCAGCAGCAGAGAGGGGUGCAGGGAAGCCACAGAGAAGCCCCUUCUGAUGCCCCAAGGAACAAGUCGAUCCCCUCCAGGCUCCAGGAACACCACAAAGCAAUAUGAAACCUGUUCAUGAGAGGA